rnacentral:rRNA from 1 species
UACGGAGGGGACUAGCGUUGUUCGGAAUUACUGGGCGUAAAGCGCACGUAGGCGGCUUUGCAAGUUAGAGGUGAAAGCCCGGGGCUCAACUCCGGAAUUGCCUUUAAAACUGCAUCGCUAGAAUUGUGGAGAGGUAAGUGAAAUUCCGAGUGUAGAGGUGAAAUUCGUAGAUAUUCGGAAGAACACCAGUGGCGAAGGCGACUUACUGGACACAUAUUGACGCUGAGGUGCGAAAGCGUGGGGAGCAAACAGG